rnacentral:rRNA from 1 species
UACGUAGGGUGCGAGCGUUGCCCGGAUUUAUUGGGCGUAAAGGGCGCGUAGGCGGCCGCGUGCGUCCCGCGUGAAAGCUCCUGGCUCAACUGGGAGAGGGCGCGGGAAACGGCGUGGCUGGAGCAAGGUAGGGGGCCAUGGAAUUCCCGGUGUAGUGGUGGAAUGCGUAGAGAUCGGGAGGAACACCAGUGGCGAAGGCGGUGGCCUGGGCCUGUGCUGACGCUGAGGCGCGAAAGCGUGGGGAGCGAUCCGG